GCGUUCGCUUUAGCAGCACAUAUACUAAAAUUGGAAAGAUACAGAGAAGAUUAGAAUGGUCCCUGCGCAAAAAUGACAUGCAAAUUCAUGAAGCGUUCAAUAUUUUU
rnacentral:snRNA from 1 species